GCGCUCAUAGCUCAGCUGGAUAGAGCACUUGGCUACGAACUAAGGGGUCGGGAGUUCGAAUCUCUCUGAGCAAA
rnacentral:tRNA from 1 species